rnacentral:rRNA from 1 species
AUGAUCAAAGAGAUAAGGAAGCAAAGCGGUGUUUCAUGGGACGACCGGCAGUGCAAGAUUCUAGCGGAUCCACCACUUUGGAAAAACGUCAUCAUAUCACACCCUAAAGCUGGAAAGUUCAAGACAAAAGCCUUCCCUCUUUUUGAAGCUUUGGGAGAAUUGCAUGAUGGCCAAACUGUAGAAGGGGCAUAUAACUUCACCUCUAUCGAGUCAUCACAUUGCUCAACCCAAUCACGUCUCGAGAAUCUUGGAGGAGCUGGCAAGAAUCAAGGAGAAACAUCAGCUGAUGGUGAGAAUCUUGGAGGAGAAAGGGUGCAGAUUGAUGAAGAUGUUGAGGAGGUGUACGUGCAAGAAAACAUUGCUGUGGAGCCCCAGCAAACUCAACCAAAUUUGGCUACUGCACCCUCAAGAAAUGGAGAAGAGAAAGAACCAAAGAGAAGGAGGGGGGCAAAUGGUGAUGUGGCUGCAAUGAUGGAGAAGUACUUGGAAAUAAGGACGAAGCAGGUGGAGGAUGAGAGGAAUAAGCCAAGGUUCGUGGAUGAGUACUCUAUCAAAAACUGCAUUGAUCUACUGAAAACAAUGGACAUCACACCUGAAGAAGAAGUCAAGGCUUUCCGAGUCUUCAAGAUCCCUGAGAACCGAAAGAUUUUCAUGAGUGCCAGACCGGAGACUGCUCUUAUGUGGCUGAGAGCUGAAAUGGAAUAA